rnacentral:rRNA from 1 species
GUACGGGAGGCAGCAGUCGAGAAUAAUUCACAAUGGGGGCAACCCUGAUGGUGCAACGCCGCGUGGAGGAUGACGGUCUUCGGAUUGUAAACUCCUGUCAUCCGGGAGUAAGACCUGGGAGUGAAUAGCUCACAGGGUUGAUAGUACCGGAAGAGGAAGGGACGGCUAACUUCGUGCCAGCAGCCGCGGUAAUACGAAGGUCCCGAGCGUUGUUCGGAAUCACUGGGCGUAAAGGGAGCGUAGGCGGCGUGGUAAGUCAGAUGUGAAAUCCCGGGGCUCAACCCCGGAACUGCAUCCGAUACUGCCGUGCUUUGAGGGUUGGAGAGGUAGCUGGAAUUCUUGGUGUAGCAGUGAAAUGCGUGGAUAUCAAGAGGAACACUCGUGGCGAAAGCGAGCUACUGGACAACACCUGACGCUGAGGCUCGAAGGCCAGGGGAGCGAAAGGGAUUAGAUACCCGGGUAGUCCU